rnacentral:rRNA from 1 species
GACGAACGCUGGCGGCGUGCCUAACACAUGCAAGUCGAGCGAGGAGAGUUCCUUUGGGAAUAAACCUAGCGGCGGACGGGUGAGUAACACGUGGGCAACCUGCCUUGUAGAGGGAAUAGCCUUCCGAAAGGAAGAUUAAUACCGCAUAACAUUACAGUUUCGCAUGAAACAGUAAUUAAAGGAGCAAUCCGCUACAAGAUGGGCCCGCGGCGCAUUAGCUAGUUGGUGAGGUAACGGCUCACCAAGGCGACGAUGCGUAGCCGACCUGAGAGGGUGAUCGGCCACAUUGGGACUGAGACACGGCCCAGACUCCUACGGGAGGCAGCAGUGGGGAAUAUUGCACAAUGGGGGAAACCCUGAUGCAGCAACGCCGCGUGAGUGAUGAAGGUUUUCGGAUCGUAAAGCUCUGUCUUCGGGGACGAUAAUGACGGUACCCGAGGAGGAAGCCACGGCUAACUACGUG